rnacentral:rRNA from 1 species
AACGAACGCUGGCGGCAUGCCUAACACAUGCAAGUCGAACGAGACCUUCGGGUCUAGUGGCGCACGGGUGCGUAACGCGUGGGAACCUGCCCUUAGGUUCGGAAUAACUCCCCGAAAGGGGUGCUAAUACCGGAUAAUGUCUUCGGACCAAAGAUUUAUCGCCUUUGGAUGGGCCCGCGUUGGAUUAGCUAGUUGGUAGGGUAAAAGCCUACCAAGGCGACGAUCAAUAGCUGGUCUGAGAGGAUGAUCAGCCACACUGGGACUGAGACACGGCCCAGACUCCUACGGGAGGCAGCAGUGGGGAAUAUUGGACAAUGGGCGAAAGCCUGAUCCAGCAAUGCCGCGUGAGUGAUGAAGGCCUUAGGGUUGUAAAGCUCUUUUACCCGGGAUGAUAAUGACAGUACCGGGAGAAUAAGCGCCGGCUAACUCCGUG